GUCGGUCAGGACCAGGUCCUCGUGGCCCUGCUCCACCACGCGGAUGGAGAACUCGGGCAGGUCCUCGCGCUCCUCCACCGAGCACACGUAGCGGCAGCGCCGGUUGCCGUGGCGCAUGCUCCAGUAGAUGCGGCAGGCCUCGUAGCCGGCGGGGAAGAUGGCGGUGGGCGAGUGGAAGGCGGCCAUCUGCGGCGGCGUCAGCUGGCCCAUGGCGUGCAGCACCAGGCUGCCCACGCGGAAGGUGUAGCCCAGCUCAGGCCGCCGCACCGCCGAGGCGAUCUGCCGCGCCUCGUCCCGCUGCACGUACACGCGGCGGAACACGGCGAAGCAGCGCAGCUCGUGCUCCGCGGCGUGGCCCCCGGCGGCAGCGGCGCCGCGCGGCCGGUGGGCGUGGCACAGCAUGGUCUUGUCCUUGUAGAAGGUGCAGUGGGCCUGCAGCGCGCAGGGGAAGUGGUAGACGUUGGCGCAGCGCAGCCUGUGGCAGCCGCCGGUGGCGCCCGUGCGCUGGCAGAAGGCGCAGCGCGACGCCUGGCCCCGCCGCAGCGCCGGCUCCACGUUGAUGAGCGCGCCCGCCUGCGUCUCGUACACCUCGCUCGACCACAGCGCGCAGUUGAGGUGCACCCAGGCGUCGGCGUCCAGGUUGAGCAGCCGCCCCGUCUCUUCAGCAGCUCGUCGAUCUUGUCCUCGUCGGGCAGCGCCGAGCCCCGGGGCACCAGCACCUGCAGGGUCCACUUCCUCCAGCGCAGGCCCUUCUGCCGCUUGCCCUGGUGCCAGCCGCCCUCGUGGUGGUGGUGGUGGGCCCGCGGCCGCGCCUUCAGCUUCACCGUCACCUUGAUGGUGUCCGACUUGGCCUCCGUCUUGGGGGUGAGUCCCGCGCCGAGGAAGGGGAGGGGCGGCGGCGGAGGGCUGGAGGGAGGCGACUGUUUGGGCUGCAGCUGGGCGAGGCAGUGGACGUCCAGCGUGGACAUGUUGUUGCUGUACUGGUGCUGGGUCUUGGACAGGCUCUCUUUCUCCUCCGUGUCCGGCAGGAGCUCCACCGUG
ensembl:lncRNA